rnacentral:misc_RNA from 1 species
AAGUCGUAACAAGGUUUCCGUAGGUUAACACGUAUCCAAGCGUGAAAACCCUGUGUAAAAAAACCGAACAACUGUUAACAAUGGAUAUCUUGGUUCUC